rnacentral:rRNA from 1 species
ACUCAAAUGAAUUGACGGGGGCCCGCACAAGCGGCGGAGCAUGUGGAUUAAUUCGAUGCAACGCGAAGAACCUUACCUGGGUUUGACAUACACCGGAAACCUGCAGAGAUGUAGGCCCCCUUGUGGUCGGUGUACAGGUGGUGCAUGGCUGUCGUCAGCUCGUGUCGUGAGAUGUUGGGUUAAGUCCCGCAACGAGCGCAACCCUUAUCUUAUGUUGCCAGCGCGUAAUGGCGGGGACUCGUGAGAGACUGCCGGGGUCAACUCGGAGGAAGGUGGGGACGACGUCAAGUCAUCAUGCCCCUUAUGUCCAGGGCUUCACACAUGCUACAAUGGCCGGUACAGAGGGCUGCGAUACCGUGAGGUGGAGCGAAUCCCUUAAAGCCGGUCUCAGUUCGGAUCGGGGUCUGCAACUCGACCCCGUGAAGUUGGAGUCGCUAGUAAUCGCAGAUCAGCAACGCUGCGGUGAAUACGUUCCCGGGCCUUGUACACACCGCCCGU